AUCCAGGGGGUCUAAGGAGCCCCUUUAUGGUCAAAAAAAGUCUAGGUGAACCUUAGGCUAGUCAAUCUAUAUUAUUUAAGCAAGUAAUAUAGUGAGGCAAGAUUUUCAAAUUGACGGGAAACCCCUAAAGCAAUUUCAACCAAGCAAGCAUAGUAAUAUAGUUUGUGGCACAGGUAAUGACUCGUGGUAAGGUAAAAUCGAAAUUGAUACACAAUGGGCAAUCCGCAGCCAAGCACCCAAUACCUUUAGCUAUAGGGUGUGCAGUUCAACGACUAAAUGUUAAUCGGCCGUGUUAUUUAUGGCUUAAGAUAUAGUCUGACCCUGUAUGAAAGUACUGA
rnacentral:ncRNA from 1 species